GGAUGUGAGGGCGAUCUGGCUGCGACAUCUGUCACCUCAU
rnacentral:snRNA from 1 species